rnacentral:rRNA from 1 species
UACGUAGGGGGCAAGCGUUGUCCGGAUUCAUUGGGCGUAAAGAGCUCGUAGGCGGCUUGGCAAGUCGGGUGUGAAACCUCCAGGCUCAACCUGGAGACGCCAUCCGAUACUGCCAUGGCUAGAGUCCGGUAGGGGACCACGGAAUUCCUGGUGUAGCGGUGAAAUGCGCAGAUAUCAGGAGGAACACCGGUGGCGAAGGCGGUGGUCUGGGCCGGAACUGACGCUGAGGAGCGAAAGCGUGGGGAGCGAACAGG